GCAAAGUCCAAACCACCCGUGUUUUUCUAAUAUCAUUUCAAAUAAUUAAACCUUGUCCAAAACGACAUACUAUAGAGAUAGAAAAUGCCUCCUCCGAAUGGAACUACAAUUCUUUUCCUCCUACCGAGCUUUAAUUUUAAUGGUUAAAAACUUGACAGUAAGGACCACGAUCUCUACAAACUGAAAAAAAAAAUCAGCAGGAAAUACAACAUAGUCCAAUCCAAAGGGUGUAAAGUAAACUACAGGGUGAACAUGAAAAGCUAACAGUCUGAACUCUGGUAUUUUUUUUCCAGACAGUUAGCAAUCUACU
rnacentral:lncRNA from 1 species